rnacentral:rRNA from 1 species
AACGAACGCUGGCGGCAGGCCUAACACAAGCAAGUCGAGCGAAGCCUUCGGGCUUAGCGGCGGACGGGUGAGUAACGCGUGGGAACGUGCCCUUUGGUACGGAAUAGCCCCGGGCAACUGGGAGUAAUACCGUAUGUGGUCGAGAGACGAAAGAUUUAUCGCCAAAGGAUCGGCCCGCGUUGGAUUAGGUAGUUGGUGGGGUCAUGGCCUACCAAGCCGACGAGCCAUAGCUGGUUUGAGAGGAUGAUCAGCCACACUGGGACUGAGACACGGCCCAGACUCCUACGGGAGGCAGCAGUGGGGAAUCUUAGACAAUGGGGGAAACCCUGAUCUAGCCAUGCCGCGUGAUCGAUGAAGGCCUUAGGGUUGUAAAGAUCUUUCAGUGGUGGAGAUAAUGACUGUACCCACAGAAGAAGCCCCGGCUAACUCCGUGCCAGCCGCCGCCGUAAGAC